CGGGGUGAGUAACGCGUGGAUAACCUGCCUCAUACAGGGGGAUAACAGUUAGAAAUGACUGCUAAUACCGCAUAAGCACCCGGGAGCGCAUGCUCCUGGGUGAAAAGCUCCGGCGGUAUGAGAUGGAUCCGCGUCUGAUUAGCUGGUUGGCGGGGUAACGGCCCACCAAGGCGACGAUCAGUAGCCGACCUGAGAGGGUGGCCGGCCACAUUGGGACUGAGACACGGCCCAAACUCCUACGGAAGGCAGCAG
rnacentral:rRNA from 1 species